CAAAGGACACCAAAACUUGUAGGCUGUAGCAACAUCUAAAUGGAGAUUCGCACUAAGCACCUCCAGGCACUAGCGCUCAUUGUUCUCGUAUGCAUCGCUACUCACGCACAAUGCAAUGUCAUAGAGAUGCGUGAUGAUAAAGGUUAUGCGUGCUAGUACAAGCUUACCUCUAUCCCAGCCUGCAAUCCAGACAAAACUCGAUGUUAUUGUUGUACGGGGAAUUGGACUUGCUAUAAAACAAGGGAUGAAUGCAAAACCCGUUGUGUUGCUCCACCUUUUGGCUUAAACGAGGCAGCAGCACCCUCCUCCUCCUCUCUACUUCCAUAAAAACUGAUUAUUAUGUUGUUAUCUGGAAUAAUGUGAUAGUUGCUCCAUAUAAAUCCUUUUUUGGUCAAGCAAUCCUUCGUAAAAUGUCAUGUUUCCAUAUAGUAUUGGCAUAUCUCUGGUCUUGUUCCCUCCUAAGAGCAUCUCUGGCAGAUCUCGCAAACGCGUUUUUUAAAUAACACGGAGCUGAAAUUUAUGAUAUGAUCUAUACGUCGGCAGCAGGGGCGGAGCUGGGCCCACGGCACCCAAGGCCCAGGCCCGGGGCGUAGGUUUUCUUCCAGCUUUACCUAGUUAGGUUUUUUGUAUUGGCCCGGGGUUCAGCCCAUCCCAGCACAAGUGAAGGCCCAAAAUUGUCUGGCUUUACACCGAUGAGCGACCCACAUAGCUCUGCGCCACUACGCACGCACGAGCAGGACUCAAGGACGAGCUAGUCGCAGCCUCAACGCUCGCGCGGUCGCGCGGCGCUGCGCUCGGCCGAUCCCGUGCUGUCGGCCGUCAUCCCAUCCCAUCCCCCCGUCCCGUCGCCGCUCGAUAACCGGGUCCCUGGCUGCUAGCUUCAGUCGCCACCCGCCAUCUGCCGCUGGCUGUCCUCCUUGGGCCUCCCUACUCCCCAGCAAACAGCACCCUUGAGGCCCUAAACUGAAUUCAUGAGAUGAUUAUGAGGCUCUGACCUUGAUGCAGGCUGGGCCUCAAUAGUGCACGCAUCUAUGCAUGGGAAGCACAUCCGUCUCAGAAACUCCUUCCUUGAAGCUUAUAUUCAUAGCAUAUCAAUUGAGUUGAUUCCGCAAAGAAAAAACAAUUGAGUUGAAUAUGCCAGGAAUUUAUGUGCUGUAGGAUACAUAUGUUUGGCCAGAUUGAAUUAGGAUACUUUUGACUUGCAAGGAAUUUAUGUUCAGUACUGAUAAAUAUUGAAAUAGAAAAACACUUAUUAAGGUUUGAUAUUAAUUCGAAUUUUCCAUUAUGAAAUUCUUACCAAAUUUAUUUCAAUGAAAAAAAAAUCUUUUGGAGAAAUUCUAGUUAGAUGGAAAGUAGCUAUACAUGAACCUAGGGCAUCACACAAAAUACAUGAACGAACAAGUCCUAGUGAAAGACAAGUGUACAAGCCGCAUCACACAAAAUGAUAAUAAAAAAACCUAGGGCAUGCAAGUAAACCAAAUAAUAGUCCAUAGAAGUUAAACAUUAAAACAAAU